UCAUGAUACGGUUUUGUGCAGAGCGAUGCCAGUCUAGGAAAGGCGCAGUCCAUUUGGAAAUGACACUUGGCAAGCUUUCGGAGGUCUACCCUUUUUCAGAGAAGGCUGAACGAAGCCACUUCGUUUCUGAGUUUGCUCAGGAACCUUUAACUCCCUUUACCUUUAAAUUUCCAUUGAUGUCAACCUUCUUCUGUUCUCUCAGAAAGACCUGUCUGGCUCAUUUGAAAAUUUCAUUACUUGCAGAUAGGUCUUUUUACAAUACUUUCUAUUUUGUUUCCUGACUCUCUCAGUGUUUUUUGUUUACCGUCAGCCUUAGUUUUCCUGAGUAUUAAGCUUUGUAGAUUGCCUGCAGUUUCGACCUCAUACUCUUAUGAUUGCCAGACUUCUCUAACACACUGCCUUCUGUGUAGUCCCAAGUUCCCUUUUUUCAACCUUUUUGUCUUGUUCCACUCAUAUUUAGAUACAAGUAUGUGCCAUAUGUUUUUUUCUUUUUGGAUAAAAUACACAAAUGAACCAUUUUGGUGAGUGUGAUUUAUUGGUACCGAGUACAUUCACAGUGUUGUGCAACCAUCAGCUCUUUUUAGUUCCGAAAUACUUUUGCUUAAAAAGGAAACCCUGUAACCAAUCAGCAGUCAGCCUCCGUUCAGCCCUACUCCCAGCCCCUGCAACCACUAAUCUACUUUCUAUUUACAGGUGUACCUAUUCCGUACAUAUCUAGUAAAAUCAUACAGAAUUCAAUUUCAUGACAAUGUGCGGGGGUAUAUGGUCCUUUUAUGUUUAACUUGUUAAGAAUUACCAAACUAUUUUAUAUAGAGGCUGUACCGUACUAUAUUCCCUCGGACAGUGUAGAAGUUACCCCACAUUCUUGCUAUUAUCACUUAUUUCCUUUUUUUCUUUUCUGUUUUUUAAAUCUUUUUAAAAAUUUUACUUAUUUUGGGGCACCUGGGUGGCUCAGCCGGUUAAGCAUGCGACUUCAGCUCAGGUCAUGAUCUCACAGCUCGUGAGUUCUAGCCCCACAUCGGGCUCUGUGCUGACAGCUAGGAGACUGGAGCCUGCUUUGGAUUCUGUGUCUCCCUCACUCUCUGCCCCUACCCCACUCAUACUCUAUGUCUCUGUCUCUCUCUCUCUCUCUCUCUCUCAAAAAUAAACAUUAAAAAAAAUUUACUUAUUUUGAGAGAGAGAGAGAGUGUGCACGUGCAUGAGCUGGGGAGGGGCAGAAAGUGAGGGGGAGAGAGAAUCCCAGGCAGGCUCUGCGCUGUCAGCACAGAGCCCCACCUGGGGCUCAAACUCAUGAGCCGUAAGAUCAUGACCUGAGCUGAAAUCAAGAGUCAGAUGCUUAGCCGACUGAGCCACCCAGGUGCCCCAUCUUCUUUUUUUGUUUUAAUAGUAACCAUCCUAGAGUAUGCAGUGGUGUCUUACCAUGGUUUUGAUGUGCAUUUCCCUAAAACAAAUGAUGUUGAACAUCUUAUCCUGUGCUUGUUGACCAUUUCUGUGUCUUUGGAGAAAUGCUGAUUCAAGUUCUUUGCCCCUUUUUUACCCUGUGUUGUUUUUUGUUGUUGACGUGCAGGAGUUCUUUCUGGCCUCUCAUAGUGGGCCCAAAGCACAUGUAUGAUUUGCAUGUUUUUUCUCCCAUUUGGGGGAUAUCGUUGUGCUCUUUUUGGUAGUGUUUUUUGAUGCACAAACAUUUUAAUUUGGGUGGGGUCCCAUUUAUCUUUGUUUUCUUUGGUGCUUUUUCAUAUCUUACAAAGAUUAGACACUGUCAGAUCCAAGGUUCUAAAGAUUUACCCACUUGCUUUCUUCUAAGAUUUUUUAAUAGUUUUAGCCUUUACAUUAGGUUUUUGGUCCAUUUUUACUUUAUUUUUUUUUAAUUAAAAAAUUUUUUUUACAUUUAUUUUUGAGAGACAGAGACAGAGCACUAGUGGGGGAGGGGCAGGGGGUGGUGAGACACAAUCCAAAGCAGAUGCCAGGCUCUGAGCUGUCAGCACAGAGCCCAAUGUGGGGCUGGAGUUCACAGACCGAGAGAUCAUGACCUGAGCUGAAGUCAGACGCUAAACCGACUGAGCAACCCUGGCGCCCCAGAUUUUUGAUCCAUUUUGAGUGAAUUUGUGUAUAUGGUCUGAAUCAGGGGUCUGCUUUGAUUCUUCUGCAUAGAGCUAUCCAGGUAUCCUAGCAUUAGGUGUUGAAGAGACUAUUCUUUCCCCCAUUAAAUUGUCCUGGCACACUGUUAAGAGUAUGUUUUGUUUUGUUUUUUUUCUUUUCUUUUUCUGGAUUCAUGUUUAUGUCUAUCCUUUUGCCUGUACCACCCAUUUUUUUUUUUUUUAGUUAUUUAUUUUAGAGAGAUAGUUUGCAAGCAAGAGCGCACACAAAAGGGGGAGGGGCAGAGAGAGAGAAAGGGAGACAGAAUCCAAAGCAGGCUCCAGGCUCUGAGCUGUCAGCACAGAGCCUGACGCGGGGCUAGAACUCAGGAACCAUGAGAUCAUGACCUGGGUUGAAGCUGGAUGUUUAACCAGCUGGGCCACCCAGGUGCCCCUGUACCACCCAUUUUUGAUACUGUACUUUUUAGUUCUUUUGGUUCUUUAAAAAAAAAAAGAAUUUGUGUUAACAUUUAUUCAUUUUUGAGAGAGAGAGAGAAGGAGAGAGAGAAAGAGAGACAAAGUAUGAGUGGGGGAGGGGCAGAGAGAGAGGAAGACAGAAUCCAAAGCAGGCUCCAGGCUCCAAGCUGUCAGCACAGAGCCCAUCGUGGGGCUCGAACCCAUGAACUUUGAGAUCAUGACCCGAGCUGAGGUCCGACACUUCAUCAACUGAGUCACCCAGGUGCCCGUCUUUUGAUUCUUUUUUGUUUCUGUCUCUUAUUGAUAAUUUCUUUAGUGAAACAUAAUUCUUCUAGUUUCCUAUAGUUCUUUGUCCAUGGUUUCUGUUAGCUGGGUGUGUCGAAACAAAUGGAUUUAAGGUUGUUACUAAGUCCAGUGCCUUGGCUUUUAGGAACAAUUUUUUUUUUUUUUUAAUUUUAGAGUAAAUGAGCAAGAGAGAGGCAGAGGGGGAAAGAGAAAGAUAGAGAGAAAGAGAAAGAAAGAGAGAAUCCCAAGCAGGCUCCACAUGCAGCACAGAGCCCAACACGGGGCUCAAUCCCACAACCCUGGGAUAGUGACAUGAGCCGAAAUCAAGAGUCAGAUGCUCAGCUGACUGAGCCACCCAGGAGCCCUAGAAACAUAAAUUCUAGAUAUCAUAAUGCAGCUGUUUGAAAAUCUGAUUCACCUCUUUCCCAGGGUUUGCUGUUGCUGCUUUCUGUGUAUUGUUGAUGUUUGCUUAGUGGCUUUUAUAAAUUAUUUUUGUAUGUUCUGCAUUUCUUUUUAGUGCUGUCCCUGAAAUCUGUGUUCUGUUAAUUUAGUGGUCACUAAACUAGAGUGACAGAAAUUCCUUAAAUGCCCGGAGCCAAGAGAAGAAAACUAAAAAUGUUCUUUUGGUUUUUGUUGAUGGGCUGUGUGUUGGGCCACUCCUUUGGUGUUUAGCUAGGCCAUCUACAACUCUUCCUUAGUCUUCCAUCCCUGCUGGGGUGGAUCCUGAAGAUCAGCCAGAGGUUGAUCUUUGGAUCCUCUUUGGAUCCUCUCACAUUUUCCCAGCAUGCAUCCAGCCCCAGGUGUGCUUAUGGACUUCUUGAUUCUCUGGUAAACACUCGAGCUUUUAAAGGCCUAUUCAGGGGCAGUGGGUGGCUCAGUUGGUUAAGCAUCUGACUUAACUCAGGUCAUGAUCUCACAGUUUGUGAGUUCAAGACCCGAAUCAGGCUCUGUGCUGACAGCUUGGAGCCUGAAGCCUGCUUCAGAUUCUGUGUUCCUCUCUCUCUCUCUGCCCCUCCCCUGCUGUGCUCUCUCUCCUUCAAAAUAAACAUUAAAAAAAUAAUAAAAUAAAACCCCUAUUCACGCACAUAUCAACAUUUCCAGUCUGUGCCUCCUAAGGCCUUUCAGGCUAUGUUUUGUUUUUCCCAAAUGCUCUCCCUUUCCUCGGGCUGCUCUAGGCAAUAUUUUGGCUCUAGACAUCUUCAUCAGAAGUUGUCUGAGCAGCGCCUGAGUGGCACAGUCGGUUGAGCAUCCGACCUCGGCUCAGGUCAUGAUCUCAUGGUUUGUGGGUUCGAGCCCCACAUUGGGCUCUGUGCUGACAGCUCAGAGCCUGGAGCCUGCUUCUAAUUCUGUGUCCCCCUCUCUCUCCUCCCCAUCCCUGCUUGUGCUCUCUCUUUUUCAAAAAUGAAUAAAAAUUUAAAAAAAUUUAAAAAAAAGUUGUCUGAGAUGCUGCCUUGUUCCUGGAACUCUCUGAGUUGGGUGAUACAACGCCACACCCUUGCGGCAGUGAUACUCAAGGAAGCUGCCAGAAAGAUCGAAGCACCCAGUGGUGCUUCUUUGAGAACAAGGUCCAUAGCGCUCCUUUGAUCCCUCGCAACUUGCUCAAGGAUGCAUCCUGUUGUCUACAUGGCUGGAGCUGAUCCGAAGAGUGGGGAUGGUAGGUGGGUAAUUAAAAUGCCUCAGCACUCA